rnacentral:rRNA from 1 species
UACAGAGGUGGCAAGCGUUGUUCGGAAUUACUGGGCGUAAAGGGCGCGUAGGCGGUUCGUUAAGUCCUGUGUGAAAUCCCCCGGCUCAACUGGGGAACUGCACAGGAAACUAGCGGGCUUGAGUUCGGGAGAGGGAAGCGGAAUUCCGGGUGUAGCGGUGAAAUGCGUAGACAUCCAGGGGAACGCCGGUGGAGAAAUCGGGUCGCUGGGUCUUUCCUGACGCUGAGGUGCGAAAGCCAGGGGAGCGAACGGG